GACGCUAGGCCGGCACUGCCUAGGUGGGCCGGGCGGUGCGAGGGUCGCCUUUCAGCCUUUACCUCUACCCACUGAAAUGGAGUAGGUCGGUGAGCGCCGAUCUGCUGGAGAAUCUCAUUAUCCCAUCGGCGCUCUGCCUGCUCCUGGCCUCCAAGCCUCUGAAGCCCCUCGGGUUUCAGCUGCCGGCUACCCUCGAGCCCGUGGUGCCCACGAGAGAGGCGACUUUACGUCAGCGGCCCUGGGCUGAGAUUUGAGAACGCGACCAAGUGGAGAAUGUUGGAGCCAGAUUUUAAAAUCCUUGUCUUCCUUCUGCGUGCUACUUGAUCUAAAUGAGAUACGGCAAAGUCACAGAACCUGUUUUUAUGUUUUUGCCUGAUUCAUACGGGCUUCUCCGGUGAAGAUGGGCCUGAAGUAACGCUUGGGUUGCUUCUGACGUUAUAACUCAUCCUGUAGCUGCAGCAACCGUGGUCCUUGCAACCUCAUAAAAAUGUUGCCAGCAUUGUUUCGAUAGUGCUGCUUAAUUCUUGGAAGGCCUCUUUGCUUUCUUCCCUGAGGUUCUUCGGACUUCACACAUUCCAGCAGUAGCUCUCUCAGCUCCUGUCCUGCACAGCUUUGAAGUGCUGGUGAUGUCAUUGAACUCUUAAGUGCAAGAUGAAACAAGUCUUUCUGGGGUUCUAAGUAGGACACAGGACUGGGCUGUGGCCCUUGGCGAGCCUCCCAAGCUAUUCAGUGAUGUUAGACAACCCACUUACCUUCUCUGAAAUUUACUUUUCUUAUAUGUAAAAUGCAGCUAUUGUACAGGACACAGCCCUGGUGAUGGCUUUCUGAGGAUGACACGAUGGAGGCUUCUCCAAUAGCUCUAAAACUGCGGUGUGGAAAACAUUCGGCAGCCUCAAAGAGCGGUCUUGUUGACCCCAACUAUAUCAUUUUUCAUCAAAAUCAUUCUUGUAAAGAAUGACCAGGCAACACUCUUUGAAAAUUGGAGGCCAUUUGCAGCUGCUCUCUGUUGAGGAAAGUGAAUAAUAGGGUGCCCUCAAGGAAUUGCAAAGGUAUCACUCAACAGAAACUUUCGUGUCUGAAGAAAACUAGAUCAUUUUAUCAUGGUAGGCAUGCUGAUAUGUUUGCUUUAAUAAAAUGCCAUAUUUCUGCCUUUAAUCUCUUGUCAACCCGCUAUUAAAAAGCCCCAAAGUGCAUGUGUGCAGCGCAUGUAAACACUUGUGGUUUUGAGGUUACCACAGAACAUACUAAUAAAGCAUGUAAUUUGUGUUUUGUGC
rnacentral:lncRNA from 1 species